CGAUGAUGGGCGCCUUUCAUGGCGCGAUAUCCGGUGGUCCAGGCCGUCGAGAAAAGCCUCGGCGCGAGGGGCGUUGCCGCCCGUACCCCAAACCGACACUGGUGGUCAGGUAGAGAAUACCAAGGCGAUCGAGCGAAUCCUGGUCAAGGAACUCGGCAAAUCACUCCCGUGCCUUCGGUAUAAGGGAGACCCCUGAUGGUGAUGGAACUUGCUUCCGGAGCUUUCGGGGGUGGCACAGACCAGGGGGUAGCGACUGUUUACCAAAAACACAGGUGCAUGCGAAGGCGCAAGCCGCUGUAUAUGCACUGACGCCUGCCCGGUGCCGGAAGGUUAAGAGGAUCCGUCAGCCCUCGGGUGAAGCGGUGAAUUCAAGCCCCGGUAAACGGCGGUGGUAACUAUAACCAUCCUAAGGUAGCGAAAUUCCUUGUCGGGUAAGUUCCGACCUGCACGAAUGGCGUAACGACUUCCCCACUGUCUCGACCAGGAGCUCGGCGAAAUUGCAGUACGAGUAAAGAUGCUCGUUAAGCGCAGAAGGACGAAAAGACCCCGGGACCUUUACUAUACCUUGGUAUUGGCGUUAGGCGCGGAUUGUGUAGCAUAGGCGGGAGGCUUCGAAGCAUGGGCGCCAGCCCGUGUGGAGCCGCAAGGUGAAAUACCGCUCUGUUCUCGUUUGACGUCUCACCUCGAACAGUCAUCCUGUUCAGGGACAGUGCCUGGCGGGUAGUUUAACUGGGGCGGUUGCCUCCCAAAGAGUAACGGAGGCGCUCAAAGGUCCGCUCAGCCCGGUUGGCAAUCGGGUUUCGAGUGUAAUCGCACAAGCGGGCUUGACUGCGAGAACGACGGUUCGGGCAGGGACGAAAGUCGGAGAUAGUGAUCCGGUGCCGGCGCACGGGCGCGGCAUCGCUCAACGGAUAAAAGGUACCCCGGGGAUAACAGGCUGAUCAUUCCCAAGAGUCCAUAUCGACGGGAUGGUUUGGCACCUCGAUGUCGGCUCGUCGCAUCCUGGGGCUGAAGCAGGUCCCAAGGGUUUGGCUGUUCGCCGAUUAAAGCGGCACGCGAGCUGGGUUCAGAACGUCGUGAGACAGUUUGGUCUCUAUCCUCUGCGCUCGUUGGAAUCCUGAGGAGGCCUGCCCAUAGUACGAGAGGACCUGGGUGGACGGACCUCUGGUAUGCCGGUUGUCGCGCCAGCGGCAUGGCCGGUUGGCUACGUUCGGGAGGGAUAACCGCUGAAAGCAUCUAAGCGGGAAGCCUGCUCCAAGAUUAGGAUUCCUUGACGCUCCUCGGAGCGUUUGUAGCCCGCAUGUUGAACACGUGUUCGAUAGGCCGGAGGUGGAAGUCCCGCGAGGGAUGGAGCCGACCGGUACUAACGGGCGAACGCGGCACAC
rnacentral:rRNA from 1 species